CAUUUCCUCAAUAUUACAAAAUUGCUUAUUUAGACUUCUUUUACUUGAUUCUUCUUUUAGAUAUCAUCUUUUGACUUCUCGUUUACCAUGGAAGGUGAAAAUUGGCUCUGGGAGAUUUGGAUAUUCUUGACUAAUGCAGUAUACAUAUUGCUGACUUCCUGAUUAGUAUCAAGAAUCAGAAUUGCCCAGAGACGUGAUCUUGAGGCACACACAGCUGUCAGAGAUUAUCUUCCCACCAUCACAGCCAGACAUUUCCAAAGGUGCAUGAAAAUGACUUACAGUUUGAAAACCUGCUUCCUACUGUUCUCAAAGAUAAAAUGCUGUGGAGGCUGUUAAUGGACCUCAAGGAGUUGCUGCAACAUCAGGAAGAUACUUCUGGGAAGUGUUUACAUGGAAUAACUUGUAUCUGCAGCAGGACAUACUUGACCAAAUAUAAGGAAGAUCCCUUUGUCUAGGAUUUUCUAGGUGUGCCAUAUUGAGAUAUGUAACCAUGAAAGAUCACAGAAACUCAUUCUUUCAACCAUAAUGAAAAUAUAUAUAGAAUUCUCCUUCCUGAAUAAUUUAAAUGUGAAAAAUAGUACUGGUGAGGGCUGUGUAGUAAACCUGUGCUACACUUUCAUUAAUAAUCUAGAUGACAGAAUAGAUUGAAAAACAGCUUCGUUUCCAGACCUCUGUACCAUCACAGAGGGUGCAAGAGGCAAGUAGUCCAG
ensembl:lncRNA